UACGUAGGGUCCGAGCGUUAUUCGGAUUUAUUGGGCGUAAAGCGUGCGUAGGCGGCUGUUUAAGUCUGGUGUUAAAGCUAGGGGCUCAACCCCUGUGAUGCACUGGAAACUGGGCAGCUUGAGUGCGGUAGGGGAAGGUGGAAUUCCGAGUGUAGCGGUGAAAUGCGUAGAUAUUGGGAGGAACACCAGUGGCGAAGGCGGCUCACUGGACCGGAACUGACGCUGAGGAGCGAAAGCCAGGGGAGCAAACGGG
rnacentral:rRNA from 1 species